CCUACGGGUGGCUGCAGUGGGGAAUAUUGGGCAAUGGGCGCAAGCCUGACCCAGCAACGCCGCGUGAAGGAAGAAGGCUUUCGGGUUGUAAACUUCUUUUAAGAGGGAAGAGCAGAAGGCCGUACCUUUUGAAUAAGCCACGGCUAACUACGUGCCAGCCGCCGCCGUUAUACGUAGGUGGCAAGCGUUGUCCGGAUUUACUGGGUGUAAAGGGCGUGCAGCCGGGAAGACAAGUCAGAUGUGAAAUCCCGCGGCUCAACCGCGGAACUGCAUUUGAAACUGUUUUUCUUGAGUACCGGAGAGGUAAUCGGAAUUCCUUGUGUAGCGGUGAAAUGCGUAGAUAUAAGGAAGAACACCAGUGGCGAAGGCGGAUGACUGGACAGCAACUGACGGUGAGGCACGAAAGCGAGGGGAGCGAAAGGGAUUAGAUACCCCUGUAGUC
rnacentral:rRNA from 1 species